UCAAUUUGGACUGAUAACUCGCUGUCUGGUAAACAAUGUUGGGUGCAACUGUUGCCAGGUAGUUGGCGAUUGCCAAGCCUCGGAAGGGAGGUAUGCCAGAGAAUUCCUCCACCCUCCGCCAUUGAAACGUCUCGUUCAAUCGGAUCUUGAUUUAUCGCUUAUCCGUCACUUACGUUAAACGAAAAAAAAAUCCCAUUUCAUUCGCUGAAUAAUCGAACAAGAAAAAUGACACGAAGGAUUCCCUUCGUUCUUCCAUGAUUACAAAACUCUCGAAUUUCACUUUUCACGUGGCGAGAAGUCGAAAAAUCGUGCCGAUCUAUUUUCUCAACAGUUUGAUCCCCGGCUUCGGGGAACAAAUCCCGUCGAACGCGCGGUUCGUGGAAAGGCGGAAACUCGUUUCGCCCCUUUUUUUUUUUUUUUUUUUCUUCUAUCCAGCUCGCCGGAAUUACGAGGUUGCAGCCGGUGCAACACCGGCCAGCCGGCGACAUCCUGCCUCGAAUCGAAUUCGCGCCCCGCUGCCUGCUUGCGCUCCCUGCUUGCAGCUCGUAAACAAAUCGGCUCGUACAACUCGUUGCCUCGCAACGAUUACGUUUUCUCUUGCAACGUGUGCAACGGAGAUUUUAAGCACGAGGGAGGAGGAGGAGGAGGAAGGAGAGGGGAGGGGAAUCGGACCUCGUAGACAUAAACAGAAUUCGCGAACGGUGACUCGACGCGACCGGCUUAUUUUCGAUAAUGACGAAAAUAUCGCCCGUUCUCGAUACCAAAAGCGUAUUCGCCUUUUUUUCCUUUCCUUUCCUUUUCUUUUUCCUUUUCUCUGCUCCUCGCUCCUACUCUCUUCGAGGAGAGAGAAAUAAAAAAAAAGAAAAAGAGAGAGAGAGAGAGAGAUUGAACGACGAUGCCUCUUUCGAUAGAAGUUAUUCCCGAAGACGAUUCGUACGUGCCAAACGUAUUUAUGAAAAUUUGCCUCUACGUUUAGUCGGGGCGCGAGAAAUACACAAUUUGCUCGUUCGUCCGCGAUGGUACGUCAUUUUUCAAUCCCCCAAAUCCCGGCUCCUCUUCCCACGCGGCUGGCAAAAUCCCAGUUAUUGCCACAUUUCGCGUGUUAACCUUUAUCGGAAAGGAAGUCCUCGAGGACUCCUCGAGACUGUUAUUUUUUUUUUUUUUUUUCUAGCUGGAUACUACCUGUUAAUACCGAUCGUCAAACGUUGCGCGCGAUAUUAUCGUAUCUUCGGAGGGAACGGAAUUUCUGGGAAAAAGAAAAAAGGAAAAAUAACACGAAUCGUUUAACGAGCAUAACAAUUAAGAUUCUAAUCGCGGUGAUCGUAAAUGCGUUUCGAACAAGCUUGGAAAAUUAUCCGAGUUGAACCGUUCCUUCCAGGAAAAUAAAAUGAUUAAGGAAUCCUCGUUAAAAAUUUCCUUUCCUACUCAGCGAAAUUCCGUGAUUCAUUCCGUGAAAUGAUUCCAAAUGAUCCGAAACGAGCAGGAGAGAAAUUCCAACGAUGUCGUAACCGAUCCUCUAAAUUAUUCACGCGUACACACAUACACAUGCCCGUUCGAGUCGCGAUUAGACGUCGAGGUUGGCAUCGAGGAGGCGGUGGAAAAGGAACGAUAAAAAACAAAAUAAAAAAAACGGUUUUAUCGAAGUCACGGUGUAAUCGGCUAACGACACGCGGAAUUUAUGUCGAGUCCUUCCUUGGCGCGAUAAUGCUAUUCGUAAGCGUCGCUCGCCAACGAAAUAUAUCGCGUAUAUUCAACGACGAGCGCCCACGUUGCACCGACUGCAUCGAAUCACGGAAACCCGCGCCCAGAUACGCGCAGCUGUUUGUCGCAGAUUACGAGAGAGAACGACCAAACCCCCCCCUCUCGACCAAUAACUCUUCCCCUGUCCUUAAAAUUGUGUCAAAUCGAUAUUUAAAAAAAAAAAAAAAGAAAUUAUUAUCUCCUGUUUUCGAGAUACGAAAAAUUGGAAAUGGAUCGACGGAGAAACGGAGCGAAUCGCUUGCCGUUCUCCCGUUUUUUUCGAAUCUUUCUUCCCUCCAGAGGGAGAGAAGGAGGUGAGCGCGCAUGGUGCGUGGACGAUCGGUAUUUUUAUCGAUCGGACGCGACGUCGCUCCCUCCUUAGAAAAAUUUAUUUUCGCGGUGACCAACGCGGUCCAGGAAGGAACCGAACCCGUCGACGACAUCGUCUUCGUCAUUGCCUUCGUCUUCGUCGUUGUCUUCGCGAGCGGGGCUCGACCCGGCUUGCGCGUUUCGCAAAGGCACCUUCUAGAAAUAGAACGCCCAAAUAAUUUGCCUCGGAUUACCAGCGACGCGUCGCGCCUCUCUCCCUCCUCCUCUCCCCUCCUCUUUUUCCUCUCUUUUCGAACGUUUUCGAUCGCGUCGAUUUUUAAAAACGAUCACCAUCCUUAGUUAUCGCUCCUCCUCUUCUGUUUCGAGAACAGGUCCGAUUCCUUUAAAAAAUCCGUAUUUAAAAAAAGGAAAGAAAAAAAAAAAGAAAAAAUCCCAGUAUGCAAAACAGAUCGCUAGAAGUCCAUGUAUACGUGUUCACUCGAUAGAUAAGCGUAACCUUUAAAUAGAUCGGUGUGUUAAGCGACCGGUUGGGUAAAUACAUUGGCAAUAAUCGUCGAUGCGAAGAAAAGGUAAACCAGGCAUAUAUAUAUAUAUAUACACACACAUACAUACGCGUCUUUGUAAAAUUCACGAUAUUGCAAAAUCGACGUGGUCGCGUCGCAGAGAUUAUUUUGCCGCGGAUUCAAUAAAUCGCGGUAAAAAAAACGCGAUAACGAAUGACGGGAGCGAAAAUUAAACUUAUUAAAAUCGCGAUUACUCGAGAUUAAUUCGUAAAUUCGUUUUGGUGAUGGGAGCCGUUUGACACCGUCAGACUCGUAUUUCUCUCCUUUCCGAGAAACCUCGAGGGCGGCCGGACGUCGUAUUUGCGGCCUCAUAAAAUAAACGGAGCACGUGCUGCUUAAGAAGGCCAAGUUCGAAAUGUCGAUCGCGAGAUAAAACUGUUGAACAUCGAUGAAAACGGAAUCCGGUUGCGCGUUUCCGAUCGUUCUCUCUCUACUCAGUCCUCCACAGAAUACUCGAACGAGAGGCCGAAAAUUAUAUACAUACAUAUAUUCGUGGCCAACUCCUUCGUUGACAGCUGCUCGAUGAUUCGAAAAUAUUUCAAAAUAUUUCCAUCAUUCAUCAUCGGUUAUAAUAUGGCUAUUUUUGAGAAUACGAUUCGCGCCUUGACAUGAUUCUUUAUAUUUUUUUACUUUUUUUUUUUUUUUGGCAAACGAUAACAAACAAACGAGCGAUCGUUAAUAAAAGAACGUACAGCGGGAGGACUGGAAGAAGAUUCGCAACGGAGGAGGGGGAGGAGUCGUUGAGCUACCUGAUGUUUCGUAAUUAAAUGUCAACCGAUGUCGUCGUUGAAAUAAAGGAAGAAAGUUGAAAAAUCCUUAGGAAAGUCGCGGCGAUAGAAGCCAAAAGCUUCUCGUGUUACAGCGCGCCUGGUCGCCAAAACACGGCGGCGACGGCGGUCCGCGCGUUUCGCACGUAGUUGGCAACGAUUUCUACCGAUGCGCGUGAAAUAAUUUGGCGUUUGUUAGUCUAUUACGUAAUCCCGCCUCACGGUUCUUUAUGGAGAAAGGAAGAGAGACGGGAAUCCGUUGUCUGAGAAACACGAUUCGAACACGAUUCGAACGAAUUUAAAUAAUUCUCACCCCUGUUGCUGGCUAACAGAGUCUCUCGCCAUGACCGCUAAAACGUCACGGCGAUCAAGAUCGACACAAAGAAGUGAAACAGAGUCACGUUUUAAAUAAAAUGUACGUGACCGAUUCAAAUACGCAUGCAAUUUACCGAAGAGCCAACCGAUUAUAUCGCAAGCUAUAUCUGUCAGACUCGUUCUAUCCAACUCUGAACAAUAAACUCUUCCCGAUGAAAAGCAUCGAACCGACAUCUCUCCUCUCACGAACAUUCUCCGAGUGUCAAACGAGGAAAAGAAGAAGGAAAAGAAGAAGAAGAAUAAGAAGAAGAAGAAGAAGAAGAAGAAGGAGAAGAAAAUGAUCGCAAAAAGGAAUAUCAAAUAAACGAAACGCCUUACCUUUUGCACGACGAGCGGUGUGCCGAAAUCCUUCCCUCCCUGAAGACGAAAACCCCAGGGAGAUCCGUCGAAUCUGGAUAGUUUGACGUUGAUCAACUGGGCCAUAUCACUGAUAUCUUUUACAGACAACCGGAUAAAAAAAAGAAAACUGAAUCCUCGAUGCGAAUGAAACGAAACGAAUGAAACGAAUAAGUUAUCGAUCGGUUUUAUAUAUAUAUAUAUAUAUGUGUGUGUGUGUGUAUGUAUGUAUGUAUAUAUAUAUAUACACACACGAUUCCCUCUA